rnacentral:rRNA from 1 species
UACGUAGGUGGCAAGCGUUGUCCGGAUUUACUGGGCGUAAAGAGCGCGCAGGCGGUUGAUUAAGUCGAAUGUGAAAGCCCCCGGCUCAACUGGGGAGGGUCAUUCGAUACUGAUCGACUUGAAGGCAGGAGAGGGUAGUGGAAUUCCCGGUGUAGUGGUGAAAUGCGUAGAUAUCGGGGGGAACACCAGUGGCGAAGGCGACUACCUGGCCUGUUCUUGACGCUGAGGCGCGAAAGCUGGGGGAGCAAACGGG